rnacentral:rRNA from 1 species
CCUACGGGUGGCAGCAGUGGGGAAUAUUGGACAAUGGGCGAAAGCCUGAUCCAGCCAUGCCGCGUGUGUGAAGAAGGCCUUCGGGGUGUAAAGCACUUUCAGUGGGGAAGAAAGCCUUGGGGCUAAUACCCUCGAGGAAGGACAUCACCCACAGAAGAAGCACCGGCUAACUCCGUGCCAGCAGCCGCGGUAAUACGGAGGGUGCGAGCGUUAAUCGGAAUUACUGGGCGUAAAGCGCGCGUAGGCGGUCUGAUAAGCCGGUUGUGAAAGCCCCGGGCUCAACCUGGGAACGGCAUCCGGAACUGUCAGGCUAGAGUGCAGGAGAGGAAGGUAGAAUUCCCGGUGUAGCGGUGAAAUGCGUAGAGAUCGGGAGGAAUACCAGUGGCGAAGGCGGCCUUCUGGACUGACACUGACGCUGAGGUGCGAAAGCGUGGGUAGCAAACAGGAUUAGAUACCCGUGUAGUC